rnacentral:rRNA from 1 species
AUUGAACGCUGGCGGCAGGCCUAACACAUGCAAGUCGAGCGAGUGGCGGACGGGUGAGUCAUGUAUGGGGCUCUGCCCGAUAGAGGGGGAUAACUACUGGAAACGGUGGCUAAUACCGCAUACUAUCGCAUGAACCCAUAUUGGAUUAGCUAGUAGGUGGGGUAAAGGUUUACCAAGGCGACGAUCGAUAGCUGGUCUGCGAGGAUGAUCAGCCAAACGGGAACUGAGACACGGCCCAGACUCCUACGGGAGGCAGCAGUGGGUAAUAUUGCGCAAUGGGCGAAAGCCUGAUGGAGCCAGGCCGCGUGUAUGAAGAAGGCCUUAGGGUUGUAAAGUACUUUCAGCGGGGAGGCGUUACCCGAAGAAGAAGCAACGGCUAACUCCGUGCCAGCAGCCGCGGUAAUAC